CCUACGUGAGGCAGCAGUGGGGAAUAUUGCGCAAUGGGCGAAAGCCUGACGCAGCGACGCCGCGUGAGGGAUGAAGGUCUUCGGAUCGUAAACCUCUGUCAGCAGGGAAGAACGGUCACUGUGCUAAUCAGCAGUGAAUUGACGGUACCUGCAAAGGAAGCACCGGCUAACUCCGUGCCAGCAGCCGCGGUAAUACGGAGGGUGCGAGCGUUAAUCGGAAUUACUGGGCGUAAAGCGCUCGUAGGCGGUAUGUCAAGUCAAGGGUGAAAUCCCCGCGCUCAACGUGGGAACUGCCGUUGAAACGGGCAAACUGGAGUGUGUGAGAGGAUAGUGGAAUUCCAGGUGGAGGAGUGAAAUCCGUAGAUAUCUGGAGGAACAUCAGUGGCGAAGGCGACUAUCUGGCACAUAACUGACGCUGAGGAGCGAAAGCGUGGGUAGCAAACAGGAUUAGAUACCCCUGUAGUC
rnacentral:rRNA from 1 species